UCUCGGCUUUGGGUCGGUCUUGACUUUGGGUCAGUCUUGACUUUGGGUCAGGCUUGGGUUGGUCUUGACUUUGGGUUGGUCUUGACUUUGGAUUGGACUUUGGGUUGGUUGGUCUUGACUUUGGGUCGGUUUUGGAUUGGUCUUGACUUUGGGUCGCUCUUGGCCUUGGGUCAGUCUCAACUUUGGGUUGGUCUUGGAUUGGUCUUGACUUUGGGUCAGUCUUGGCCUUGGGUUGGUUGGUCUUGACUUUAGGUUGGUCUCGACCUUGGGUUGGUCUUGACUUUGGGUUGGUUGGUCUCGACUUUGGGUCACUCUUGGCCUUGGGUCGGUCUUGACUUUGGGUCGGUCU